CAGCGGCGGACGGGUGAGUAAUGCCUAGGAAUCUGCCCGAUAGUGGGGGACAACGUUUCGAAAGGAACGCUAAUACCGCAUACGUCCUACGGGAGAAAGUGGGGGAUCUUCGGACCUCACGCUAUCGGAUGAGCCUAGGUCGGAUUAGCUAGUUGGUGAGGUAAUGGCUCACCAAGGCGACGAUCCGUAACUGGUCUGAGAGGAUGAUCAGUCACACUGGAACUGAGACACGGUCCAGACUCCUACGGGAGGCAGCAGUGGGGAAUAUUGGACAAUGGGCGAAAGCCUGAUCCAGCCAUGCCGCGUGUGUGAAGAAGGUCUUCGGAUUGUAAAGCACUUUAAGUUGGGAGGAAGGGCUGUCGGCUAAUACCCUGCAGUUUUGACGUUACCAACAGAAUAAGCACCGGCUAACUUCGUGCCAGCAGCCGCGGUAAUACGAAGGGUGCAAGCGUUAAUCGGAAUUACUGGGCGUAAAGCGCGCGUAGGUGGUUCAGCAAGUUGGAUGUGAAAGCCCCGGGCUCAACCUGGGAACUGCAUCCAAAACUACUGGGCUAGAGUAUGGUAGAGGGUGGUGGAAUUUCCUGUGUAGCGGUGAAAUGCGUAGAUAUAGGAAGGAACACCAGUGGCGAAGGCGACCACCUGGACUAAUACUGACACUGAGGUGCGAAAGCGUGGGGAGCAAACAGGAUUAGAUACCCUGGUAGUCCACGCCGUAAACGAUGUCAACUAGUUGUUGGGUUCCUUGAGGACUUAGUAACGAAGCUAACGCGAUAAGUUGACCGCCUGGGGAGUACGGCCGCAAGGUUAAAACUCAAAUGAAUUGACGGGGGG
rnacentral:rRNA from 1 species